rnacentral:rRNA from 1 species
GUCUUUUUGAAAAUAAUUUAAAGUCUAGCCUGCCCACUGAAGAUUUAAAUGGCUGCGGUAUUUUGACCGUACAAAGGUAGCAUAAUCAAUAGUUUCUUAAUUAGAAGCUUGUAUGAAUGGUUGGAUAAGAAAAUAACUGUCUCAAUUUAAUUAAUAAAAUUUUAUUUUUAAGUUCAAAAGCUUAAAUAAAAUUAAAAGACGAGAAGACCCUAUAGAGUUUUAUAUUUAAUUUAAAAUUAAAUUUUUAGAAUUUAAUAUUUUUAUUUAUUUUAAAUAUUUAAUUGGGGUGAUUGAAAAAUUUGUUAAACUUUUUUUAUUUUUUAACAUUUAUUUAUGAAUAAUUGAUCCAUUAAAAUGAUUAUAAGAUUAAAUUACCUUAGGGAUAACAGCGUAAUUUUUUCURAAAGUUCUUAUUGAAGAAAAAGAUUGCGACCUCGAUGUUGGAUUAAAGGAAAUUUAUGGUGCAGAAGCUAUAAAAUUAAGUCUGUUCGACUUUUAAAACUUUACA